AGAGUUUGAUCCUGGCUCAGAAUGAACGCUGGCGGCGUGCCUAACACAUGCAAGUCGAGCGAGAAAGGCCUCGGGCUAAGUAAAGCGGCAGACGGGUGAGCAACGCGUGGGAAUCUGCCUUUUAGUGAAGGAUACCCUCGAGAAAUCGAGGCUAAUACUGCAUAAGUCUAGAAAUAGAGAAAGAUGGCUUUAUGCUGUCG
rnacentral:rRNA from 1 species